UACGAAGGGGGCUAGCGUUGCUCGGAAUGACUGGGCGUAAAGGGCGCGUAGGCGGCUUGCACAGUCAGGCGUGAAAUUCCUGGGCUCAACCUGGGGACUGCGCUUGAGACGUGUGGGCUUGAGUUCGGUAGGGGAGACUGGAAUUCCUAGUGUAGCGGUGAAAUGCGCAGAUAUCAGGAGGAACACCGGUGGCGAAGGCGGGUCUCUGGGCCGAUACUGACGCUGGAGGAGCGAAAGCGUGGGGAGCGAACAGG
rnacentral:rRNA from 1 species